rnacentral:rRNA from 1 species
CCUGGUGGCGAGUGGCGAACGGGUGAGUAAUAUAUCGGAACGUGCCCAGUCGUGGGGGAUAACGCAGCGAAAGCUGUGCUAAUACCGCAUACGAUCUCUGGAUGAAAGCGGGGGACCUGCAAGGGCCUCGCGCGAUUGGAGCGGCCGAUAUCAGACUAGCUAGUUGGCGGGGUAAAGGCCCACCAAGGCGACGAUCUGUAGCUGGUCUGAGAGGACGACCAGCCACACUGGAACUGAGACACGGUCCAGACUCCUACGGGAGGCAGCAGUGGGGAAUUUUGGACAAUGGGCGCAAGCCUGAUCCAGCAAUGCCGCGUGCAGGAUGAAGGCCUUCGGGUUGUAAACUGCUUUUGUACGGAGCGAAACGGUCUGCUUUAAUACAGUGGGCUAAUGACGGUACCGUAAGAAGAAGCACCGGCUAACUACGUGCCAGCAGCCGCGGUAAUACGUAGGGUGCGAGCGUUAAUCGGAAUUACUGGGCGUAAAGCGUGCGCAGGCGGUUAUGUAAGACAGAUGUGAAAUCCCCGGGCUCAACCCGGGACCUGCAUUUGUGACUGCAUAGCUAGAGUACGGUAGAGGGGGAUGGAAUUCCGCGUGUAGCAGUGAAAUGCGUAGAUAUGCGGAGGAACACCGAUGGCGAAGGCAAUCCCCUGGACCUGUACCGACGCUCAUGCACGAAAGCGUGGGGAGCAAACAGGAUUAGAUACCCUGGUAGUCCACGCCCUAAACGAUGUCAACUGGUUGUUGGGUCUUCACUGACUCA